UACGUAGGGGGCAAGCGUUAUCCGGAUUUACUGGGUGUAAAGGGAGCGUAGACGGCAAUACAAGUCGGAAGUGAAAUACCCGGGCUCAACCUGGGAACUGCUUUGGAAACUGUAUGGCUAGAGUGCUGGAGAGGUAAGCGGAAUUCCUAGUGUAGCGGUGAAAUGCGUAGAUAUUAGGAGGAACACCAGUGGCGAAGGCGGCCUGCUGGGCUUUUACUGACGCUGAGGCUCGAAAGUGUGGGGAGCAAACAGG
rnacentral:rRNA from 1 species